ACCCCUGUGCUAAACCCAUGGAAACCACAGCUGGUCCCAUGAUCGACCUGUGAUGUCCGCUGCCUGCCUCCUUGAUAUCAGUGGGAGGAUUGUCCCUGACCAAACCAUCACAGCGAAGGAAGGAAAACUAAAAGUCAAGAAAGAAAGGUGAAAAGGGGCCAUGUCUGUACAGCUUCCUGCCUGACCCUCAGCAAACAGGGGGCGCCACACACCGCUGAUCCAUGCUACAGACCAGUCAUGUCUAUAGCUUGCAGCUUGCUGUCCCCUGCUUGCUUGUGCCUGCCCAGAUGACUGGAAGUGGGGGUCCCACUCCCAGAAGCUGCCUGUAUAACUGCUCUCACCUGGGGGCAGAAACCAUCUCACGACUCUGGUUGGGGCAUAGUGAACUCUCUCAGUGACUCAUUCUGGCCCUGAAAAUAUACUCAAUAAGGAGCUGAAGAACAAGCCAUGUCUGCUGGGCUUGGAGCAGCAGCCAGAUGCAUCCCCAAGCUAUUGUCCCAACUGGACCUGGGAAGAACUGGAAUAUUUGAUUGAUAUUUGGGGGGAAUAAAAGGUUCUUGAGCAGCUGGAAAAUCAAUGAAAUAAGCUAGUCUGUCCAGCCAUUGUCCAGGAAAUGAAGGUGCAUGGCCACAGCUGAGACUGGGCUCAGUGCUGCAGUAAAAUGAAGGCCCUGAAAUGUUUUCCAUUGGGCCAAGGACCAAAAUUAUUGUUUGGGGGCAGGACAUGCAGUAGCCACAUCCUAUGAGCAGCUAUCCUGCUUCUCAAGAAAGGCACAGGUGACAGCUUGCCCAAUCCUUCAGGACAAUGGGGGUGCAGGAGGCCACAGCAUCACCUAGCCCACAAGAGUCCACAGACUGUCCUGCCACUGCAGUGGGCAGUGCGAUAUGCACUGCAUAGCCUUCAGACCACCAGCUGGAGGCAGGGGGCGAGUGCUCACAGUAGCUGGAGGAUGGGGCCAGCCGAGAAAAGGUUGCCUUGACCAUGCCCCCCCUCCCAUUCUGUUGCUGGCCAAAGUUUGACAUUGGGCAUGCUGGUGCCUUGUAGGGUCAAGGCAGGGAGGGUCCUCUGUCCUUACCAGUGGCAACUUUGUAUCUUUAUUGGCAUACUUGUUCUGGAUGUCUUUUAGCUCUGCUAGAGAUUGGCCCUCACACUGUUGUAAGUUUUGGCACCAGUCUGCAGUGCUUACCAGGGACAUGCUGGCACCAAGCAGGGUCAAGGCAGGGAGGGCUCUGUACCAGUGCCAGAGAGCAAAUGAAGCCAGACAGAACUCGCCUGCUAUUCAUAAAGUGGGUGCACUUAAGGCUCACGUGGCUCACAGAACUCUGCUUGGUGGGUUUACGUGAACCUGGCGAGUGACUUAAUGGUGUUGGGGGACAAUUAUGUUGUAGCCAUCUGAAAAGGGAUGUUUAAGAGGCGCAGGGGUUUCUCAUGGUUGUGCCAGGGCAAAAUCUGGGGAUUUUUGCUGGGCACGCAAGAGCUAGGCUCUGCGGCUUUUGCAAGUUUUGGUGCCAGUUGGCAGUGUUCACCAGGGCUCCCCCUUGGCGUCCUAAAAUAUUCAUUACACACACAUACCUGCAAGUUACAGUGACACUUGGUGGACAAGGGGGCUUACUACACAAAAAUUGUAGCUACACACAAUGGAUAAAAGUGCUCACCACACGUAAUUCAAUUAAUUACCAUGUACAUGUGACAGAUUAAAGGCUGCACUGUUCCAAGUUGUCAUCGCAAACUAAACUACACUGGGAUGGGGAUUAAUUUGUGAUGAUACAACUCAUUUAAAUCACCAAAAACUCACGUAUGUAUAAAGUGUAAUGCCAUUAAACCACACAAAAGGCACUUUUUUUGUCACAUGUACAAGCACCCUGCUGUGUUAGUUCCCCUAGUGCAUGUGUAUUUUGAAUCUUUACAAUCUGAAAAAUUUCCUCAACUUUCCUAAGUGUAUGCAAACCAAAAUAAUAGGUAAGCAAAAGAAAGAUGGCUUCUCUGAGAAGCUCUCCAAUUUGUAUUACAUUUUUUGGUGUGGGUUGAUACAGAUCUGAAAGGAAUAUUUUUCAGUUCAAUGCAAUAUAUUUUUGAUUGUCUGUUGAUGCAGCUAUAUCUGCUGAGAAAUUCUGAUCUGUCAAAUUUCAGCUUUUUCAAUUGCUAUGAGGUAUUGACUGGUCUGGAGAUGCAGUUACUGCAAAUGAACAAAAAGAAACAAGAAGAUAAAAAUGAAUGGCAUGAUAAGAAAGGGGAUGUGGCUUAAGGAAAUGCUCAGUAGUAUAUCUCAGUUAGGUUUAAAGACGAUCUGGUUCCAUAUUUAAGUGGUGGACUGUUGUUAGAGAAAAAAGGUACACAACUUCGCCAUCUUGUGGAGAUUAUAUGUAUGAAAGAGAAUCAAAGAUAUCUAGGGGAGGAGUUUUUCAUUUUUUAUUAUGAUGAUAUUCUUAUAAUAAUAAAGAAUGAUAAGAAUAUUUACUAUGAUAAGAAUAUUCUGCCAUUCACUUGUUUGCUACUAUUUUGAUGUUUUGAGAAUUUUGAAUAUACAGGUGGUAGCUGGGAAUCUGUGAUAACUACCUCUGUAAACAGAUACUUCACUUAUACAUUUUCCAAAAAAAGGGGAACUUCAAUUAUUAUUUUUACUAAAAAUACUGCAGUUGAAAAUG